rnacentral:misc_RNA from 1 species
GAUCAAGAACGCAGCGAAAUGCGAUAAGUAAUGUGAAUUGCAGAAUUCAGUGAAUCAUCGAAUCUUUGAACGCACAUUGCGCCCCUUGGUAUUCCGGGGGGCAUGCCUGUUCGAGCGUCAUUUCAACCCUCAAGCUCUGCUUGGUAUUGGGCUCCGUCCUCCUCGGACGCGCCUCAAAGACCUCGGCGGUGGCGUCUUGCCUCAAGCGUAGUAGAAACACCUCGCUUUGGAGUGCAUGGCGUCGCCCGCCGGACGAAACCUUUUGUAUUUUCUCAAGGUUGACCUCGGAUCAGGUAGGGAUACCCGCUGAACUUAAGCAUAUCAAUAAGCGGAGGA